rnacentral:tRNA from 1 species
AAUAUAGUGCCUGAUUUAAAAGGAUAGUGUUGAUAGUGCCAAUCAUGUAUUUUUUUUACCUAUAUUA